GACGAACGCUGGCGGCGUGCUUAACACAUGCAAGUCGAGCGAGGCCCGCCCUUCGGGGCGGUGUCCUAGCGGCGAACGGGUGAGUAACACGUGGGCAACCUGCCCCCGGCUCUGGGAUAACCCCAAGAAAUUGGGGCUAAUACCGGAUAUGACCGCUGGCCGCAUGGUCUGGUGGUGGAAAGAUUUAUCGGCUGGGGAUGGGCCCGCGGCCUAUCAGCUUGUUGGGGGGGUAGUGGCCUACCAAGGCGACGACGGGUAGCCGGCCUGAGAGGGUGACCGGCCACACUGGGACUGAGACACGGCCCAGACUCCUACGGGAGGCAGCAGUGGGGAAUAUUGCGCAAUGGGCGAAAGCCUGACGCAGCGACGCCGCGUGGGGGAUGACGGCCUUCGGGUUGUAAACCUCUUUCAGCAGGGACGAAGCGAGAGUGACGGUACCUGCAGAAGAAGCACCGGCCAACUACGUGCCAGCAGCCGCGGUAAGAC
rnacentral:rRNA from 1 species